CAGCUUUUAAAUUUUUGGAGAUUGCUAAUUGGUAUGCAAACGUAUCUUUUUAUUUGCUGACAUCUCAGUCAAAUCAGGAUCUUGAAUCAAAGAAGCAAAAGCCUAUAAGUCUUCCCUAUUAUCUUCCCUGUAAAUAAUAGAUUUCCUGCUUUAAUUUACCUGGGGGCAUAAACACAACAAGGAAAGGCAAAGACCUGCCCUUCCUUGGUCUGUUCUACCUAAUAAAGUGGCGUUUACCUGGGACCUCCAAGAGUUAGCCUCUAUUGUGUCUUCCAAAGGAAAGAGAAUAGAUUGUCCUCUGGGCUGAUAUAAACGGGAAGACAGCAGCUGUAUGUGACCUUGUGUUCUGAUAUGGUUCUGGCAUUGGGACAGAAUCUUUUUGGUAGCCUGUCUUUGUCACUUUCUAGCAAGUACAGAGACUAAGCACCUGGGCCUAAGACUCAAGCAAUCCACAAGAUUCCAGACCUCCUUGAGGGUAGGAAAAGGGGUCCCAAUAUUCUCAGCAUUUGAUUAUCACUCUUAGAUGGGCUUCAGAGUUCAGUUAAUGAGCAGACACCACGCCAGGAAGAGAUACAUGAGCCUAGAUCUCAGAGGGUAUGUACUCUGAAGCUGAAAUCAUAAACCAGAACAUCUGACGUGUGUCUCAUACACAAUGAGGGAGGGAGGAUUGCUGAUGGAAAUGUCACACGCAGCUGCUUUUAGCACUUGGCUCUCGCGGAUCGAGCUUCCCCUUCUGCCACUACACCCCACCCUCUUCCUGGAAGAAAGCCGUUUAGGGUUCUUUAGUUCUCAUCCUGCAUGCUGUGAAAACAGCUGUAAAUUUCUAUCUGUCACAUGGGUAUAGUUCAUGGCUGGUAGAUGUACCUGAUGGGCUAUAGAAAUGACUGGCUCAGCUCCUGUUGGGCUCAGGAAAGAGAGUCUACCUGAGAGAAUCAGUUGUGUGCCCCACCCUGAAAGUACCCUCGGUGCCAUCAAAAGCACUGGUGAUGCAACAUUCCUUAAGCAAGGCUCCACCAUUUUUUUCCUGAGAUUUUCUUCUAAGUUUCUGACAUCCAUUCUGCAGGUUUUGAUGCCUGUGCUUUCUUCAUCUUACCAAAAGCUGUCAAUGGAAGAUUUCAGGCAACAGGAAGAUUAGCCCUGAGCUAACUGCUGCCAAUCCUCCUCCUUUUGCUGAAGAAGACUGGCCCUGAGCUAACAUCCAUGCCCGUCUUCCUCUACUUUAUACGUGGGAUGCCUACCACAGCGUGGCUUGCCAAGCUGUGCCAUGUCUGCACCCGGGAUCCGAACUGGCGAACCCCGGGCCGCCGAAGCCGAAUGUGCAAACUUAAC
ensembl:lncRNA